AGGUGAAUAGCACAAGGAUUUGUCCUUCCAACUCUUGACCAAAUGUUCGGUGGCUUGAGACAUCUUGGAACGAGGGGCUGAGAUUUUGGAUUGAAGACGGGCAGUCCCAUAAAGCAGAAAGCUUUUGCAUCUUGAAUUGGAAGCUGAAGGACUUACACUGUAUAUAGGAGCAAGAAGGCUAAUGUCCCAUGUCAAUCUCCAUGUUGAAGCUUUGCGGUCUAGAAUUACUGUCGUGAUUGCUGAGAGUAUGGUUCCCGCUAGGCAGAUAAUAUUGGUUUGAAGAAGAUGAACCUUUCAAAGAGAGAUGCAAAUAAGGCAGUGGCUAGGGUUCCAAUGGCGUUUCCGUAGACCACAAGAAUAUAAUGGCUCAUGCCUCUAUUUAAGGCCACCUUAGCCACUG